rnacentral:rRNA from 1 species
GGCCAGCAGCCGCGGUAAGACGGAGGGGGCAAGCGUUGUCCGGAAUUACUGGGCGUAAAGCGCUCGUAGGCGGUCGCGUACGGCGGUGGUGAAAUCUCCCGGCUCAACUGGGAGGGGCCCGUCGCAACGGCGUGACUCGAGGGUGGUAGAGGCAAAUGGAAUUCCUGGUGUAGCGGUGAAAUGCGUAGAGAUCAGGAGGAACACCCGUGGCGAAGGCGGUUUGCUGGGCCACACCUGACGCUGAGGAGCGAAAGCCAGGGGAGUGAACGGGAUUAGAUACCCCGGUAAUCCUGGCUGUAAACGAUGGAUACUAGGUGUCAGCGGUAUCGACCCCGCUGGUGCCGCAGCUAACGCGUUAAGUAUCCCGCCUGGGGAGUACGGCCGCAAGGUUGAAACUCAAAGGAAUUGACGGGGGCCCGCACAAGC